GCCCAGACUCCUACGGGAGGCAGCAGUCGGGGAUAUUGCGCAAUGGAGGAAACUCUGACGCAGUGACGCCGCGUAUAGGAAGAAGGUUUUCGGAUUGUAAACUAUUGUCAUUAGGGAAGAUAAAAGACUGUACCUAAGGAGGAAGCCCCGGCUAACUAUGUGCCAGCAGCCGCGGUAAUACGUAGGGGGCAAGCGUUAUCCGGAAUUAUUGGGUUUAAAGGGUGCGUAGGCGGUCCGGAAAGUCAGCGGUAAAAGCCCGGGGCCCACCCCCGGCGAGCCGUUGAAACUGUCGGACUAGAGACGGCGAGAAGUACGCGGAAUGCGCGGUGUAGCGGUGAAAUGCAUAGAUAUCGCGCAGAACUCCGAUUGCGAAGGCAGCGUACCGGCGCCGGACUGACGCUGAGGCACGAAAGCGUGGGUAUCGAACAGGAUUAGAUACCCGGGUAAUC
rnacentral:rRNA from 1 species